rnacentral:rRNA from 1 species
GAGUGACACUGGCGGCGUGCCUAAUACAUGCAAGUCGAGCGAACAGAUAAGGAGCUUGCUCCUUUGACGUUAGCGGCGGACGGGUGAGUAACACGUGGAUAACCUACCUAUAAGACUGGGAUAACUUCGGGAAACCGGAGCUAAUACCGGAUAACAUAUUGAACCGCAUGGUUCAAUAGUGAAAGGCGGCUUUGCUGUCACUUAUAGAUGGAUCCGCGCCGUAUUAGCUAGUUGGUAAGGUAACGGCUUACCAAGGCAACGAUACGUAGCCGACCUGAGAGGGUGAUCGGCCACAAUGGAACUGAGACACGGUCCAGACUCCUACGGGAGGCAGCAGUAGGGAAUCUUCCGCAAAGGGCGAAAGCCUGACGGAGCAACGCCGCGUGAGUGAUGAAGGUCUUCGGAUCGUAAAACUCUGUUAUCAGGGAAGAACAAAUGUGUAAGUAACUGUGCACAUCUUGACGGUACCUGAUCAGAAAGCCACGGCUAACUACGUG